rnacentral:lncRNA from 1 species
UGCACUUGUUCUCUUCUAAUGUUCCAUGUUGAUUUGAAGAAUUUCAUAUUGUUCUCUCCAAUUAUUUGCUUCAACUUGAUACCCAUGCAUCAACUGCUCCAUGUGAGAAACCCUUUUCAUCAUUUCAGUACCAAUGAGGGUGAUCUAAAAAAAAGGAAAAAGGUAAGGACCUUAAUAGAAGGGAAUAGCAAAUCAUUAAAAGGGAGUAUCUUUAAUGAUUAUUGUAUUAUGUCGUUCAUCCAAGUUAAAUAGUUGUGACUCUCAAACUUGACUCUCUCAAUUGGACCAACUAAGGGUUUCAACGGCACGUCAGCCCCACCUAAUUUUGUCAAAAGAUUACCAUUGGCAGGGACCUCGAUGACAACAUGUUUCAUGGCUCCACUUUUCACUAGAGGACCCAACCUUAGUUUGUUG